rnacentral:rRNA from 1 species
GGCGGAGGGAGGAGGCGAGGAAGAGGAGGGUCCCCUCCGACUCCUCCAGGUUCUUGCCGGCGAGCAGCGCCGACCACCACGCGCGCCUGCGGUUCCUUUAGCGGAAGCUGGUCUUCAGGGCGCGGCGUGAGGUCCGGCCGCAGCUCUUCCAGCGGUUGCGGCAGCCGCAGUGGGAGCCGGGCGCUCCCUCCUUGCAUCACGACCUACUCAUACCGUUGGGGC